GGUUAGAUAAGUCAAAUAAGGCUAUUGGGCUCAUGACCCAAAAGUGGAAACAAUCCUUUAACCU
rnacentral:tRNA from 1 species